UCCUUUUUUUCCCCUAGCAUCCUCAUUAGUUACAGCAGAGAAGAGGCCAUUGACCCCAUGGCGAGCACCACCAACCAGCACAGUUGGGAACGAAAACGGGCCGCCGCCGACAGCCGCAUGAUUCUACUCUGCCCCAACACCACCCCUGUUGCAAACAUUAAUUGGGUGGAGCAGCCACCCUGCUGCUGCGUUCACGCCAUGGCCAGUAGCCGCCAUUAACGCAAGCAGGCCAGAACCUCAACCGGCAACACAAACGGCGAGGUGACAGCAAGCACCACCAUUGCUGCGACGUGCCAUCUCCCUCAACUCCGGCCGUCGUCACACGGCGGUGCUGCGUUACAACGCCACCGGUGCUACCAGUGGAGGAGGCUGCGGUGAGCACAUUUGCUGCUGCUUAUUGCACAACACAACUGGUACUGUCAGGGUAGUCAUGCGGCUCGUCGGAGCGUGCGUCGAGGCAACUCUUUCAACUCCGAUGGAAGCAAAGCCGGCGCUACAAUGGAACUUCGCUGGAGCUGCAAUGGAGUUCGCCGGACGCCGUCGAUGCUGCGUCGGAGCUCUGCCGGACGACGUCGGUGCUACGUUGGAGCUCUGUCGGGGCUGCAAUGGAGCUUCGCCGAACGACGUCAGUGCU
rnacentral:rRNA from 1 species